GAUGAACGCUGGCGGCGUGCUUAACACAUGCAAGUCGAACGGGAAUUAUUUUAUUGAAACUUCGGUCGAUUUAAUUUAAUUCUAGUGGCGGACGGGUGAGUAACGCGUGGGUAACCUGCCUUAUACAGGGGGAUAACAGUCAGAAAUGACUGCUAAUACCGCAUAAGCGCACAGAGCUGCAUGGCUCAGUGUGAAAAACUCCGGUGGUAUAAGAUGGACCCGCGUUGGAUUAGCUUGUUGGUGAGGUAACGGCCCACCAAGGCGACGAUCCAUAGCCGGCCUGAGAGGGUGAACGGCCACAUUGGGACUGAGACACGGCCCAGACUCCUACGGGAGGCAGCAGUGGGGAAUAUUGCACAAUGGGGGAAACCCUGAUGCAGCGACGCCGCGUGAAGGAAGAAGUAUCUCGGUAUGUAAACUUCUAUCAGCAGGGAAGAUAG
rnacentral:rRNA from 1 species